rnacentral:rRNA from 1 species
GCUCAAAUUUGAAAUCUCACAGGUUUCCUGUGCGAAUUGUAGUUUAGAGAAUCGUUUUCUGUGGCGGCCUGGGCACAAGUUCUCUGGAACGAGGCAUCAUAGAGGGUGAGAAUCCCGUCUUUGGUUUAGUGUCCGCUACUUUGUGAUACGAUUUCGAAGAGUCGGUUUGUUUGGGAAUGCAGACCAAAAUGGGUGGUAAAUACCAUCUAAAGCUAAAUAUUGGCGAGAGACCGAUAGCGAACAAGUACCGUGAGGGAAAGAUGAAAAGAACUUUGAAAAGAGAGUUAAAUAGUACGUGAAAUUGUCAAAAGGGAAACGCUUGAAAUCAGUGUUGCGGCUAGGGAAUCAGUUACUCAUUGGGUAAUGCACUUUUCUAGUUGCAGGUCAGCAUCGAUUUGGUUGGAAGUAAAAUGCAGUUGGAAUGUGACCUUUUAGGUGUUAUAGACUUCUGUGAUGCUUCUGACUGGAUCGAGGAAUGCAGUGUUUUGGGAAGCCUUGUCGCCCUCGAAGAUAUUGAGAAUGACAGCAUGCUGAUAUUUUCAACUAUUUAGAGGAACGGUAGGGUACUUCACUCUCACACUUUGGAUGUUGACAAAAUGGUUUUAAACGACCCGUCUUGAAACACGGACCAAGGAGUCUAACAUGUAUGCGAGUAUUUGGGUGGCAAACCCUUAUGCGUAAUGAAAGUAAUUGGUGGGAUAUUUGCACCAUCGACCGGUCUGGAUUUCUUUGAAAGAUCUGAGUAAGAGCAUAUAUGCUGGGACCCGAAAGAUGGUGAACUAUGCCUGNNNAGGGUGAAGCCAGAGG